CCGGUCGCCGUCGCCAUUGUCGAUUCCGCCUCCUCCGUUCUUGGAGCUGAUUGAGCCAUCGCCGUUCACCCGGAGGUUCUUGCCGCCGCCGAGCCGUUACAUGAGCCGCCGUCAUCAACCUAGCUACCCCAGCCAUGUCUAGCAUCUCGGUGAGCACCCUUCAGCCUAUAGAACAUACAUGCAUGCACCCAAUUAACCAAUACAUGAUUGUAGAAGCACAUGCAUCACCACCCGAAAACAUCCUCCUUUCGGACUCGCCGCCGGCGUUACUCCGAUGUCCACUGACCAAGAAAAGUAGAGGAAUGGAAUCGCAAUAUCAUGAUCUUCAUUUUGUCUUUUGGUCGCACCCCCAAACGAGCCAUCGUUUGUCGCCGGUGAGCUCGAGAUCGAGCUCAGCCAUGGCUGUUCUGCCUCUGUGCGUGAGAAAAGAAGUCAGGGACCUUGUUUCGAGAAUUUAAACAACUAUAAGGUUUAAUGUGCAACUUUUCAACUCACUGACAUAUGAGCCUAGGUCUGCGGGUUGAUUCUUAGAAACCGCAGGGAUCUUUUUGUAUAUUGAUCUCUCACUGACAGUGGACCCCUUGGAAACAAAAAUCUGAAAUUAUAAAAGAAAAGUACCUAAAACCUGUAAAAUCCAUAUAAAAUUAAAUAUAGCUCAUUUUAAGAUGAUUCAAAUUUCUGUGAACUCACCAAAUUGUGAACUUUGAUGUUAUGGAAUAAAAACUUGCACUCACAGUACAAAUUUAGCCUCUAAAAUUUAUCCAAGUUAAAUCACACAUAAAGCAUGCACAAAUUUAUAAAAUGCAUACAAAAUUCAUUUCAACUCAUUUUAGAGCAAACUUAGUUUCUACAGAUCCACCAACAUGUUCUCUAAAAAUAAAGUAAAAUAAAACAUAUAAACACUUUACAUCAAAUGCCUCUAAAACUAUUAUCUUUAAAAUAACUAGUUUUGCAUAAGAUGAACUUUAGAAGUUUAUAUAAAAUUCAUCUUAGAUCCUUUUUGAGUAAACCCAAGUUCUGUAGAAUCACCAAAACAUAUACUUCCAAGUUAUAAAAUAAAGUUAUAUACUUACUGUAUGAUAAAAGCCUCUAAAUUCUUAUGUAAGUAAUAACCAUCAUAGAGCAACCUUAAAUUGUAAAAUUUGUAGAAAAUUCAUCUUUAGUCUAAAUGAAGUGAACCAAAUAU